rnacentral:rRNA from 1 species
ACGAACGCUGGCGGCGUGGAUAAGACAUGCAAGUCGAGCGGGACAUUUUAGGGUAGCAAUAUUCUGAAGUGUUCAGCGGCGAAAGGGUGCAUAACACGUGGGUUAUCUGCCUUGAAGUUGAGGAUAGCUCCCCGAAAGGGGAAUUAAUACUCAAUGUGACAGUAAUGUUAAAGUUGGGGACCGCAAGGCCUGACGCUUCAAGACGAGCCCGCGGCCUAUCAGCUAGUUGGUGAGGUAAUGGCUCACCAAGGCUUACGGGUAGCUGGUCUGAGAGGACGACCUGCCACACUGGAACUGAGACACGGUCCAGACACCUACGGGUGGCAGCAGUCGAGAAUUUUUCUCAAUGGGGGAAACCCUGAAGGAGCGACGCCGCGUGGGGGAUGAAGGGAUUCGUCCUGUAAACCCCUGUCACCGGGGAUAAAUUGUUUUAACUUAACACGUUAAGACUUGAUCUAACCCGGAGAGGAAGGGACGGCUAACUCUGUGCCAGCAGCCGCGGUAAUACAGAGGUCCCAAGCGUUGUUCGGAUUCAUUGGGCGUAAAGGGCGCGUAGGUGGUUCGGUAAGUCGGAUGUGAAAUCUCCAAGCUUAACUUGGAAAUUGCAUCGGAAACUACCGGGCUAGAGUCUAGGAGGGGGGAGUGGAAUUCUUGGUGUAGCAGUGAAAUGCGUAGAUAUCAAGAGGAACACCGGUGGCGAAGGCGACUCCCUGGACUAGUACUGACACUGAGGCGCGAAAGCUAGGGGAGCAAACGGGAUUAGAUACCCCGGUAGUCCUAGCCGUAAACGGUGUGCACUUGCUGUUGGAGGAUUCGACCCCUUCAGCGGCGAAGCUAACGCAUUAAGUGCACCGCCUGGGAAGUACGGUCGCAAGACUAAAACUCAAAGAAAUUGACGGGGGCCCGCACAAGCGGUGGAGUAUGUGGCUUAAUUCGAUGCAACGCGAAGAACCUUACCUGGCCUUGACAUGUAUGUAGUAGAAGGAUGAAAGUCUAACGAUCCCGCAAGGGAAGCAUACACAGGUGCUGCAUGGCUGUCGUCAGCUCGUGUCGUGAGAUGUUAGGUUAAGUCCUGCAACGAGCGCAACCCUUGUGCUUAGUUGCUAAUGAGGAUUCGUCCUCAAGCACUCUAAGCAGACUGCCCUGUUAAACGGGGAGGAAGGUGGGGAUGACGUCAAGUCAGUAUGGCCCUUACGGCCAGGGCUGCACACGUACUACAAUGCCUGGUACAGAGGGGAGCAAGACCGCGAGGUGGAGCAAAUCCCCAAAACCAGGCCCAGUUCAGAUUGUAGGCUGCAACUCGCCUACAUGAAGCCGGAAUCGCUAGUAAUGGCGCAUCAGCUACGGCGCCGUGAAUACGUUCCCGGGCCUUGUACACACCGCCCGUCACAUCAUGAAAGCCGUUUGUACCCGAAGUCGACGUGCUAACCGCAAGGGGGCAGUUGCCGAAGGUAUGGAUGGUGAUUGGGAUG